rnacentral:lncRNA from 1 species
GCUCUUCAUGUUAAAGCACUGUACUGGGAUUUGUGAAAUCCAGGACUGCUCCUACCUUUGUCACAGGAAGAGUCUUUACUAAUCUGAUUAUUUCCUACCAAGCUAUCAUUCUCUAAGGCAGGACAGAGGAAGUUGUUGGCAAGAUGGGCAGAUGGAUGGCAAGCUGCCACAUGGCCUGAAGCGUGCAGUCCACAUUUAUCUAGACCCAGAGGGCUUAGCAUGGCACAUUUUAGAGCCUACAGAACAAAUCACUUUUCUGUAAGUAUCUAUGCCAUACAACAAAGCUCAAAAACAAAUGGACAGCAAGGAAAAAU